GCCCGGGUGGCUCAGUUGGCUGAGCGUCUGACUUUGGUUCAGGUCAUGAUUUUAUGCUUUGUGGGUUCGAGCCCCGCAUUGGGGCU
rnacentral:tRNA from 1 species